CCUACGGGGGGCUGCAGUCGAGAAUUUUUCUCAAUGGGCGCAAGCCUGAAGGAGCGACGCCGCGUGGGGGAUGAAGGGCUUCGGUCCGUAAACCCCUGUCAUUUGUGAACAAAGCUUACCGGUAAAUAGUCGGUGAGUUGAUAGUAGCAAAAGAGGAAGGGACGGCUAACUCUGUGCCAGCAGCCGCGGUAAUACAGAGGUCCCAAGCGUUGUUCGGAUUCACUGGGCGUAAAGGGUGCGUAGGUGGCCUGGGAAGUUUGAUGUGAAAGCUCGGAGCUUAACUCCGAAAUGGCAUUGAAUACUCCCGGGCUUGAGGGUCGGAGGGGAGACUGGAAUUCUCGGUGUAGCGGUGAAAUGCGCAGAUAUCGGGAGGAACACCGGUGGCGAAGGCGGUUCUCUGGGCCUUACCUGACGCUGAGGAGCGAAAGCGUGGGGAGCGA
rnacentral:rRNA from 1 species